rnacentral:tRNA from 1 species
UAAGAAGAAGUAUAAAGGAAGUACAAAGAAUUUUGAGUUCUUAGGUGUAGGUUCAACUCCUGCCUUUUUAA